ensembl:lncRNA
CUCGAGUUAAAUUCACUAUAAUACAAUAUGUAUGAAAUCAUUACAUAUAAUUAUAAACUGCAUCAACAUAUUGACCGCGGAGUGUGCAGAUGUUUAAAUCAGGAAACAUUUAUUGCCAUAAUAUGUCAGACAUACAAGGAAUAUAUACACAAGUAAACUCAAUGGGCUUUACAUUAAAAUAUAGAGUAACACAAGGAUUAAUAAAUUCAACCCACUUGUAGCAGAGAAAAAACACAAUCAUCCAUUAAAAUGUAACGACAAACUCCCAGACACAGUAACUAAUUAAAAUGAAGACAAACAAAAUACCCCAAACUUCCUGUGGACCUGCUUACACACACACACACACACACACACACACACACACAAAUACAUACACACGGAGGUUUGCCUUCAGCAAUAUGGGCAACAAGUUUGAGCAGAUUUAAUGUGGCCGGACGUCCCCUGGUUGUUUCUCUCAUUGUUACACCCGGUGGAGCAAGUUCAUGGAAGACAUAUUGACUGCACAGAUCGUGGCGGUUAGUAAAGAUUAGAUGCGUUGUCCUGCCCAUCUUUCAGAAUGUUUAACUUAAUACAGAAAGAGCAGACGACUGGUAACCAAAGAGUCCACACGGGCACCUGGUAUGUAAAAAAGGGGAUCUUUAGGCUACAGUGUUGUAACGGGGAACAUUCCUCAGGGUAAACUGUCCCACCCGUUUGCACCACGGAGACAUUUGGAUUCACUCUACUGCCACCGUCUGCCUGAGAGCUGUUACCGCCUGUUGGCUGCAGGUCACCCGGCUGUCCGUCUGCUCAGUUUGGUCUUUUCACUUUUGUUAUUUGUCCCGUGGCUCUAUUCUUUUCUUUUGCUAUUGUAGAUGCCCGUGCAAAGGUUACCCAACAGUAGUUGAAUUAAGUAUUUGAACCAAUUUCAUUUCUAUUUUUUUUGUCUCUGGACAAUUACAAUGACUUACAAUCAAAAUGUUCUUAUUGGUUGAAUUCAGGCGCUUUUGGCUGAGGUCCGGCAUCAUGCACACACUGUAUUCUACAUUAAUACACAAAGCAUAUUUAUGUACACCGGCCUACAUGCUACUGGAUUGUCUUCACAACUUUCUUAUUUCUAUUAUUAUUUCUAGUGUCUAUUUUUUGUACUUACUCUACUGUUAUUUAUUUGAUUUGAUUAAUAAUUCAUUAUUCAGCUCUCUUAAGUUUGGAUUAUUUUUGCCUUCAUUGUAUCUUUGCCUGGUCAGUGUCUUGUGGUAUUUUCCAUUUGGAAUUCAUGAAUCUUAUCUCAUGUAAUUGUAUCUCUAGUACACGUUGAUACCAUUGUAACAGACCAGGAUAUGCAGUUCCGUAGUAUUAUUUGACUUGUACAGUAAAUCCAGUAGUACAUUUAGUACGCUGCUUUCAAAACGCACUUUGACCUGAAGACAGCUGCUCAUUCCAGCAGGUACAGAAGGGGAAUUGUCCUUGUCCUCACGUAAGACAUCUGGAAGACAGCGGGAGACAGUACAUUUUCUACCUCGGCCUUCUGUGCCGUCUACCACAGUUGAAUAAGCUAAUAACCUCAUCAUGACGCCACAGUUACAUGUUAUUAUUAUUUAUUCUGUAUAAACACUUCAUAUUCACAUGACACUGUACCAUUUAAAGUGAAGCUCGACACCUGCAGGCGCACUAACAUACAGACAUGAUUACGUCAUGACGGGAUGCUACGUAAUUAAGCUUAGCUUUCUGUUUGACAAGGUCACGUCGGCCCACUGACCACAGACGUACGUAUGCGGCUACCUCGGUACCACGUGUGUUCUCGUGAAACGUCAUCAGCUGUUCGCGUUCUAGGCUCGAUUCGUCCUUCUUGCUGAGGAAGGUUCCUCCCCUAGACGGAAGUAUCUGCCCGGCCGACGUGAUGAGAGCUGCUUAAGUUUUCCUUGCAACAUUUAAAUGGCGACGUUUCGUUCGGGCCGUUCACGAGAAACGCAGAUCGUGGCCGGAUUCGAAUUGUCAAACAAAGACAAGACCUCAUACCUCAUACCGUAAAUUCCUAAAUACUAUUCCGUGAGCUGCGUGGAAAACGUCACGGGCUCAAGGAAAGACGGUUAGGAGAAUUCACGAGGAGUUAGGAAAGGAAAACCGCGGUGUGUCAGGGAAUCCGACUCCCCUUUGACCAAGCUACGCGGUUCCCAUGCGACGGGAGACGCGUGUUAGUGACGUCACUCUGCAGCGGACUAUGGACAAACUACUUCUCUGAAGAUGGACUGAAGAAGCGUCUUAGGUGCCUUCAUGUGUUGUUACAGUGCUGAGUCAUGCAGACGACAUAAGGUCCAAAGUAUUACUUUAUUAACAAGGUUGCAACAUAAAUGAGUUAGUCACCGUUAGUCACAGCGUGAGUGUAUUUGAGGACAUUACCGUCCCCUUGAUGUUUGAGUAACAAGGAGACUAAACAGUAGGUGUGUAUGUGGCAUAUAGCCCCAUCCCUUAAAGUAAUAACUGUUUAAUUUUUGCUACUGUUUUAAACCUCCUCUUUACUUUAUGAACGCUUUAUAAAGCUAAUGCAGUGUGAUGUAAUACAACAGCCCUGAAUUAAAUGUUUACCCCGGUAGCGUUUUAUGUGUUUCUUCCGUCCAAUAUGAAUACUAAUAAGAUACACACCUGUCAUGGUUGGGUGACAUCCAGCUGCUGUAUUUUAAUGUACUGUGAUAAUAAUUCUCUCAUCUAACCCUCAUAUGGUUUACUCAUUAGCAAGACCAGCUGACGCGGUGACGCCAUCAAAUCAGCCGCUGUGCCGAAAUGACCGUUCUCCCAUUCCCGCGAAUCAGUCCGCUCUCGGCGUUGUACGUUGUUAUUGCCCCGUAUGUUACACACUACAGGAAAUAUGUCUUAAUGGAGUGUGCCAUAAAAGGAGACGAAUAAGAAGAAUGGAAUAAGAUACAAAUGUACAAGCAAAAGAUACGUAUGUAUUGGAAUGGAGUAUCUCCAUGAAAAUGUUUCGGUCAGUGGGCGACGGACUUUAUGAGGGGAAGAAGAUGUUUCUGUGGAGGACCUUGGUCCUGUGGUGCUAAAACUGGUUGUAUAAAAUCUCUCUUUAAAACAAGCUGCACUGGAGGAAGAGCAACAGGGGAAGACAGGAGGUGCGACAUGAGACAUUGCUAAUGGGAAAGUG